rnacentral:misc_RNA from 1 species
CCAACGGCCUUACCUCAAGCUCGGUGUCAAGGCUCGCGGCUGCAAUGGUUUAUCCUAUACGCUCAAUUACGCUGGUGUGCUUCCUUCUUAUCUUUCUUUCGAUCUCCUUCAUUCUGAUCUUGUGUUACAUUUCUGAAGAAUUUUUAUAUGUGAAUUUGUUUUUGGAUUUGGGUGAUGAGUUCUUGGAGGUUAUGUGUAAUUGAGAUUCGGUUUUCGUUUUUGCUGAGAAUAAUUCAAUGGAUUUCAUCGAUUCGUUAGAAAAUGUUAUCGUCUGAGUAGGUUUCAGCUAUUGCAUAUUCUACAGACAAGAGCGAGCUUCUUAGUUGCCUCUUUGAGUGGCCGAAUGAGUUAAUUAUAUAUCAUAUUGGCCUAGUUAGGAGGCAAAAAUUAAUGGGAUCUUUUAUUUGUCUUCUCAGGCCUUUUGAGGGGGCAACCUGAUUUUUUAUUUAGUUGUCCCCCAAGCAGCCUAAGACAUUUUAUCAACAUUUAUGUCUUGUAAGAACGUUAGAUUUUUCUUGAACCCAGUCAAGAUCACAUAGGAGUUGAAAAUAAAAGUAUCUGUGUAUAAAUCUCUUUGCGUGUUAAUUAUGGUCUGUUUUGGAUGGGGUGAGGGAAGUGCAAGUAAUGAAAGGUUAAGAAAGUCUAAGGGUAAGUAGUGAUAUGAUAAAUAAAAAUUUACGUUUAGGAAGAGGGGAAGUAAUGGAAAAGUAAGAAGAUGAAAUGUAUACUCUUUACUUUGGGAAGAGGUGGAGGAGGGAUAAAUUUAAGGGACUGUAUAAAUAAAAAUAUUCAUAAUUCUCAUCUCUCUUUUUUUCAUCCUCUUUACACCCUAAUUUGAGAUGUACGAAAAAUUGAGAUUUAAGUGUUAAGGGAGGAUAAGGCUUACUCUUACUUACUUUUACCGUUCAUUAACUUACGUCUUCUCAAAGGAACGGGGGAAAAUUAUUACUUGCCUCUCGUUACUUUUAUUUACCCCUCCCUCUAUCUUGUCCAAACAGACCCUUAGUUGUAGGGUGAGGAGCUAUUGAAUUAUCUAGAAGUUUGUUUCUAUUUUCUUUCCCUCUUUUUAUUGAUUAAAUUUGGCAAUAAAAGAAAUUUGUUACUGAGAUUGGGAGCAACUGAAUGAUGUUUAGUUAGCUUUUGAAGUUGGACAUAAAUAUUUACUGCCUUGUCUAUAAUACUCUAGAAAGCCUAUGAACCAACAGGAUAAUGGUAAUGUCUUUUUUGUUAAAUGCAAAAAGUGAGAGAAAAACUACAAUACCUGAUUGAACCAAUGAGAUGUAACCCUUCUUUAGUGAUAGAUAGCUGGUUCCAAUUAGAGUGCUUUUUGUCCAUAUAGCAAAAGACAUUUCAGAUUUAGAUGAAUCUUUUCUGUUGGUGCUUGCUAGAGGGUGCUUUAUUUGUGUUUGUCAAAAAAUGAUGAUAUACUAAUUUGACAGGAAAGUAAAUGAUAUUAAGAAUAAUUCUCACAAAAGAAAAGGGAUAAAUCAGUAUUUUGUUGAUGUGUUGGUUGUGGAACUUUCUUGUGCGGGUUAUCAUACUUCCAUUUGUGAUAUCUAGAAACUUGUAUUUGUAAUUUGUUGAGCUUAGCUGCCUUUUUUUUUUUGGUUACUUCAUAUUUAACAGAUGAGAAAGGGAAAUUUGAUGAAUUGGUUGAGGAAAAG